ACGGAGGGGGUUAGCGUUGUUCGGAAUUAUUGGGCGUAAAGAGCUCGUAGGCGGUUUGUCACGUCUGCUGUGAAAUUUCGAGGCUCAACCUCGAACUUGCAGUGGGUACGGGCAGGCUAGAGUGCAGUAGGGGAGAUGGGAAUUCCUGGUGUAGCGGUGGAAUGCGCAGAUAUCAGGAGGAACACCAAUGGCGAAGGCACAUCUCUGGGCUGUAACUGACGCUGAGGAGCGAAAGCGUGGGGAGCGAACAGG
rnacentral:rRNA from 1 species